UACGUAGGGGGCUAGCGUUGUCCGGAAUCAUUGGGCGUAAAGCGCGUGUAGGCGGGAGGCCAAGUCUGUGGUGAAAUCGCUCGGCUUAACUGGGCGGUGUCCAUGGAAACUGGUCACCUGGAGGUCGGUAGAGGCAAGUGGAAUUCCCGGUGUAGUGGUGAAAUGCGUAGAGAUCGGGAGGAACACCAGUGGCGAAGGCGGCUUGCUGGGCCGGACCUGACGCUGAGACGCGAAGGCGUGGGGAGCGAAUGGG
rnacentral:rRNA from 1 species